GACGAACGCUGGCGGCGUGCCUAAUACAUGCAAGUCGAACGCUUCUUUCCUCCCGAGUGCUUGCACUCAAUUGGAAAGAGGAGUGGCGGACGGGUGAGUAACACGUGGGUAACCUACCCAUCAGAGGGGGAUAACACUUGGAAACAGGUGCUAAUACCGCAUAACAGUUUAUGCCGCAUGGCAUAAGAGUGAAAGGCGCUUUCGGGUGUCGCUGAUGGAUGGACCCGCGGUGCAUUAGCUAGUUGGUGAGGUAACGGCUCACCAAGGCCACGAUGCAUAGCCGACCUGAGGGGGUGAUCGGCCACACUGGGACUGAGACACGGCCCAGACUCCUACGGGAGGCAGCAGUAGGGAAUCUUCGGCAAUGGACGAAAGUCUGACCGAGCAACGCCGCGUGAGUGAAGAAGGUUUUCGGAUCGUAAAACUCUGUUGUUAGAGAAGAACAAGGACGUUAGUAACUGAACGUCCCCUGACGGUAUCUAACCAGAAAGACACGGCUAACUACGUG
rnacentral:rRNA from 1 species